GAUGAAGAACGUAGCGAAAUGCGAUAAGUAAUGUGAAUUGCAGAAUUCAGUGAAUCAUCGAAUCUUUGAACGCACCUUGCGCCCUUUGGCUAUUCCGAAGGGCAUGCCUGUUUGAGUAUCAUGAACACCUCAACUCUCAUGGCUUGCCAUGACGAGCUUGGACUUUGGGGGUCUUGCUGGCCUACGAGCCAGCUCCUCUCAAAUGUAUUAGCUUGCCGGUGUUUGGUGGCAUCACAGGUGUGAUAACUAUCUACGCUUGUGGUUUUCCACUAGGUAACCUUCAGCAAUGGAGGUUCACCGGAGCUCACAAAUGUCUCUCCUUGCCAAGGACAGAUUUUGACCAUUUGAUCUCAAAUCAGGUAGGACUACCCGCUGAACUUAAGCAUAUCAAUAAGCGGAGGA
rnacentral:misc_RNA from 1 species